rnacentral:rRNA from 1 species
AACGAACGCUGGCGGCAUGCCUAACACAUGCAAGUCGAACGAGACCUUCGGGUCUAGUUGCGCACGGGUGCGUAACGCGUGGGAACCUGCCCUUAGGUUCGGAAUACCUCCCCGAAAGGGGUGCUCAUACCGGAUAAUCUCUUCGGACCAAAGAUUUAUCGCCUUUGGAUGGGCCCGCGUUGGAUUCGCUAGUUGGUAGGGUAAAAGCCUGCCAAGGCGACGAUCCAUAGCUGGUCUGAGAGGAUGAUCAGCCACAAUGGGACUGAGGCACGGCCCAGACUCGGACGGGAGGCAGCAGUAGGGAAUAUUGGAGGCUGGGGGAAAACCUGAUCCAGCAACGCCGCGGGAGUGAGGAAGGCCUUAGGGUUGUAAAGCUCUUUUACCCGAGAUGAUAAUGACAGUACCGGGAGAAUAAGCUCCGGCUAACUCCGUG